UAGGAAACAGAUGAGUGUGCUGAUUUUAAAAAUGCUUUCCUGGUAUUCAGACGUUACAACUACAGGCCUGGCUCCCGGCUAAGUAAGAUGCCUAAUGGGGACCUCCGGGAGGCCUCCCAAGACCGUGACAUUUACAGAAGUAGAAAGAAUGAGAAGUUGGGAGUGCCUCAAGUAGCUAGAACCACAUACUCCAGGAAAAAAAUGGACCAAAUGCAGAGGACAGCCUCAGCCUUGUUUUCUGUCUAGGGGCUGUACCUGUGCCACUGUAAGAAACCCCAGGCAGAACUUCUGCUGGCAUCUAUGAGAAGGCACAAAAAUCAAAAAUCUCAGACUGAGUAACGACUUGAGGGAAGAGUAUAAACUAAAAUAUUUAAUUGUUAAUGACUUCAAAAUUUCUGCAGAGUUUCAUGAAGUCCAGAUUCACUCUCAAACUUUGUACUGUGAGCUCCUUUCCAGUGAAGUUCAUGUCUCCAUUUAUUCAGUCAUUCAUCCAAAAAAAAAAAAAAAAAGUUUCUAAGAAGCUCUGAUGUGGCAGUCUUCUCUGCUAGUAGUGGUGACCCAAGGAUCCUUCCCUUUCUGGAGUGACAGUCCACCGAGAAGAGACUGACUAAAGAGUUACAAGCAGACUGCUACCUAACUCUUUACAUCCUCAAAGCCAAGCAUGGUGGCUGGCACCCACGCUUUAUGAAAGAGAAAUGAGAAAGAAACAAGGAGAAAAGUAAGGUUCAGGUUAUUGCCAUCUCCCUGCCAAGUUUCAUAGAUAAAAUAUUUGCGUAAUUAACUAAGUAAGGGACAUACAAUGGUAGGUUCCUAUAUAACAUACAUUCAACUGUAAAAAUAUUUCCCACCUCCGCCUGAAAUCAUGACUAUUAAUCAACUUCAGAAAUGACAAAAUUUUCAGUAAUGUAGCCUAGAUCAGUUAGUUUUUGGCCAAUAAACUGUUGGUGGAGAUUAGGAAAGAGACCACAGGACGAUGAGCAUCACGACAUUGACUAAGGAUCAUAAAUUCAUGGAACAGAACCAAUUCUGUAAGAGCUGAGAUUAACUUGAAGGUGCCUAUCAAAGAGUUGAUACUCAUCCACAAAGGCUUUCCAUCUUGGUAGAGAUAAGGCUUCCUAGAAAAGCCAGAUUUUAAUGAGGUUGCAACAUAUGAAUAAAAGGGAAUGAUGGGCCAGAGGACUAGGGCGAGGGUACACCAGCAUCUGCAUAGCAAAAUAAGUAAAACAUUAACGAAAAUGUGACGGCUGCUGCCGGAUGCCAGGAACCAUGCUAAGUCACUGUGGUGGGACACGACUAAGACCUAGGGCCUGACUCUAGGUGUUUGCUGGUGAUUACUCAAGAGCCACAGAAAAAGAGGCCAUAUUUGAGCAUAAAUAGAAGUCUUAAAAGGGAAAUAGGAUCAAACUGACUCACAUUUCUUUACCAGGGGGCUUUAGCAGCAUCCGAAAACACCAUCCUUGGAAUCAGGAGGGAGAAAGCAUGACCACAGCUUCAUUCCAUUAAGAGCUACUAUGUGAAAUAUUUACAGAUGAAAUGAUGCCAAGCCUGGGAUUUGCUUCAAAAUAAUCCUGGGUAUGCAGUGGAGUGAAGGUAAAACCAGCCCAUGAUGCAAUCAUUGUUGAAGCUGGAUGAACUUCAAUGGAAAAUCACUGUAAAGAUUCACAAAAAUUAAGGACAUCUCCCAAUGUCUGGGACUAAAACCAAACAGGGACCCGAGAAUCAGGGCUGAGCUGCGUUGGAAUCUUGAUCUUCCGGCAGAAAACCCUUCCAAAACCUUCCAACAUAACACCGCUCAUGUAUAGGUGUUCCAGACCGAAUGUCCAGUUAUUUCCACCAUUGUGCAAAAACGGGAGUCCCUGCCGAGCAGCAGAUGGCCCUCAGCGAGGCUGACACUCAGGCCAGGCCCCAGGUGGCAGCUCUCAGAACACACUGUCCAGUUAAACCCUGCAUAGGCUAGCCACAGAAAAUACCUGGUGUUCACAUCCCCCAAAGGUUGGCCAAAUGACAAGGGUCAAGCAGUACACUUCAUGGGUUAGCAGGGAGAACCAGCAUUUCAGCAGAAAUACGCAAAUCACUGAGUCCCCCCUGUCAAACAUUGCAAAUAUGUAGCAUGCUAAGAAAAAAAUCUCCUUACCUCUCAGAUUCUGUAUCGCUUGGUUCAUCUGAGUUGCAACACUGGACAAUAAAAUCUAAUAAGUUAAAAUACGGUGUGGAAUGCUCAGGAGAAAAACAAAGGCUAGUGUUCCUCAUCUGAGUGAAUAAUUUCUCUCAGUUUAUUUUAGCUUUGCAAGUUAUUUGUGAUUAUAUUUUAAAUCGGAAUUUGUGCAUGUGUGAUUUAAAAUAAAAAAGGCAAUCAAGUCUUUCUGCCAAUCUAGGUGAUGUGAAAUUUAAUUAUGGAGCAGUUAUUUAUUAAAACAAAGGCAAAGCAAUUUUUUUACACAUAAUUGAAUAUUCCAGAAGAAAAUUUCUGAAAAAUCCAAAGGUCCAAAAGAAAACUUCUCAGUGAGAAUGUCUGUUUCAAUAAGAUACCCUAUUUUGUAGUAUUGGACCCACAGAAUUUCUAGUUAGACAUAAAUAAGUCUUGCCAGAAUUACUGUAGUUCAGUUUUGCUGUCUGCAUCUAGAAAUACGGAAGACAGCUAUGUUACUGGUUACGACUCCACAGUAAUGAGUAAUGAAAAUUCCUACUUAUCAUUUCUACAUCAACACCAGUGUGACUCAAAAAAAAAGCAUGAUUUACCUGGCAAACACUCCUGUUACACAGAAUCCAAAGAAAUAAACACCUCAAUCCAUUCAGGAAUGUUCCUUUCCCAA